ACAUGGAACCUUCUCCAUGACUGCCAGUUGAGGGGAAGAGGCAGUCAAGGAGCAUGUAGGGAUGAAAAAGUGUUGGGCACAUCUGCAGUUCCUCUGACCAAACUCACCCUCUUGGUGUAGCUUGCACUGAACACAAGCCAAAGUCAGCUCCUGGGUGCAUGGGGCAAAUCAGUGCAGAGGUGCAUAAGUCUGUCUGUAAACUCCAGGUCUGUCAGCUGAGGAGAUUACCGCUCACCCAGCACUCAGGCGCACACACCCCCCGCCAGCCUUCCUUGACCUAUUUACUAGCAUUGAACUGGAUACAGGCAGACCUUGUGUUCCAGCUGCCUGAGCUAGCACGGCUCACUUUGGUUCCAGAGGGCCAGGGGAAGCAUGUACAAGCAGUUUUGCUGACAAACCUGGGAGGGUAGUGGUGGUUAGGAGGAGAAUGGUAACAGCCGGGGUGGGAUUGGACUGAGGUACUGACACUUCAACAGCUGGAAGACGUCUUGAGUCUCCAGCUUGGUUGGGUCCAUAUGGCUGCUUACAGGCUGUGGCUGCAGACAAGCUAUGACUGCACAAGCAGGACUUUGAGUAGAGAUGUUCCCUCCCUUCCUCUCCCCAUGCUGCCCCAUGGGGUGCUGCAGCUGCCCCAGCAUCAUGCCUGCCCGCCCCUCCCGUGGCUGCCCUGGUCUCUCCUCGGACUGAGCAUGGUGUGCUCAUGCAGGGACUGUUCAUGCUGAGCUGGCUCAUGUCCAGUGCUUGUAGCAGCACACAGCACAAAUGACAGGGAUCUGUGCUGUUCCCCACAUGGGACAAGGAUCAGCCUCUGCUGCAGCCCCUCUGCUUACCCUGUCCUUUCACCUUAAGCUCUUCAUCUAUCUGGGUCCUGUUGCAAAUGCUGAACUAAACCCUUAAUACCCCUGAGCAGGGAUGGAGGGUUAAAUCAGAUGAAAGAUUAGAGUAUCUUAGCGGGAUAUAUGCUUAACUAAGGGUCCUGGGUCUGUAACUGAAGUCUAAAAUGCCCCCAGGCAGUUGGCUACACCCCUGGUGGUGCCAACACUUGCUAGGCAGCUGCCUGUGUGAGCUGCUGGUCCCUGUUCAUAGUCAGAUCUGCUACUCUCUGUUCAAGACCAGGACACCAACCUCAUUUGGUGGGCGUCCUAACCCAUUGGCAAGAGAAGGUGGCACAUGAAAUACUCUGCACAACUCUGCAAGCCUGAGGCAGAUGUCUGACCUGCAGAGUGGGAUUUACACAGCCUGUUCCUCCAGACACAGUUUCUUGCUUCUCCCCUUUUCAGUCCUCCAGGCACUUUUUGAGGUAGCCACCAAAGCACAUGCUUGAGGUGCUGGCAGAAGAGAGAGGCCUGUGCAAGCAAGAAACGUGGUCUAUAUAUGAGAAGCAUGGGAGUUCUGGCAUACAGCACCUUCAGUUUGUACAUCCCAGAAAAAAAAGAAAAAACAGUAAAUAAAGCUGUCUGCUUGUUUUGGCUCAGGUGAUUGGAGAUCUAAACUAGGUAGUGUGAAUUAGUAUAAUUUAAUUUUCAUCACUGUCUUUUAUAGGCUGUAAAGUUCUGCAUCUCAUAUGACUUACAAUCUUUUUGGGCUUCAUUUCUGAUCUCUUUUUAGACCUUGAUAUAUCCAUGCUAUUUUAGUCUUGCAGACUAUUUUUUGAUAAUAUCUACAAGAUACAGCUUUUUUUUUAGCCAGCCUGGUAGCUCAAACUGUGCCAGACUCUCCUUCUCUUAUACCUUGAUUUCUGCAACAUCCUUUCUUGGGUUGUGAGACACACACUCAUUGACCCUGUAGCUGCAUACACUUUACAGGGCUGCUGCAAAAGUUGUUUUCUUUGCUUGCUGUUUUGUCACCUCUUUUCACUGACCUCCUUACCUCUUCAGUAAGAGAAGAAUUCAACCCAAUUUAUACAAGUCCAUUUAUAUUGUGGCUGAUGGUAUUUCUCUGUACAUGCAGAUGGGCUUCUUUGCACGUGCACAAUGAGUGGAGUGACUUUGCUGUGCCCCAGGUUGCCGCAGGAAGGAGCACACCCCUUGGGCCUCACUGCAAAUGAGCUGCAGGCCAUUGAAUCACUGGCAAUGGCUCUUUGUUUCCAGCACCACCUUUCCUGGUGUCCCAAGGCCCCAUUGCUGUCGCAUCAAGGAUAUGCAUUACUCCUGUGAUGGGCAGGAGAGUGAAGAGCCCUGGGGAAACCCAGCUACAGGAUGUCAGAAUAGCCCUGACUCCCCCGGAACAAAUUCCUCCCACCCACAGCCUAAUUGCUGUGAGCUCCAAGUUGCCUCAAGAAACAGGUUGUCAAGGGGAGGCUUUAGGACAAAGGGCCUGUUUUUCAUUAUUCUAACCCACAAUGGGCCACUCAGAAGUAAUCUGCAAAUUCAGGUACCCCAAACCCCCUUCUUCCCUUUUAGAUCCCACAUAGACUCUUUGUCCUUCAUCAGCUUUCCCAUCUCUGCUGAGAUGUGUGAGUUAUCUCUGGGGCUUAUUUUAAGGAACACUAUGAUACUGAUCUGGAAUUUUCCUAAGGUCUGUGCCAUACACGUGCAUAUAUUGUAGAGCUGCUCUCUACAAGCACAGGUUGAGUCUCACCGAUUUUAAACCAUCAAACACAUCUGCUUAUCUUUGUUUUAAGAACCUUCCGAGCCUAUCUCCAUUCUUUCCAGGACAAAAUACAAGGUGAAAUCCCACCUUCAAGGAGAUGCCCCAUAUUUCCCCAUACUUAGAUUUUUGCCCCUGCAAGUUUGUUCUCUUUAUCAUGCUCCCUUUCAGGACAUGCCUCAGGGAACAUCUGCUUCCCAGAAGUUCCCUAGACCAUCUGCAGUCAAACUGGCAUUGGCAAGUCUGUGCGUGUCCCACUGCCCUUUGGGCUGGCCAGGCAGUGAUACUGCAAGGCUACUGCACUUCUAAGCGGGGAUGACAUUAAGUGGUAUCAUAUCCUGCUCAAUUUCUUUGCAUGCUGCAAACAAGUUUAACUCGGAUCCUAGAAAUGAAAAUAGACAUAUACAGGCUAUAAGUUCAUGUAGAUGCUUAGGAAAUAAAUAUCCUAACCCUGAUAAAAAUAAUGAAAGAAAAUAUUCUAGAUUAUUUUGGUGAAUUCUGUUCUCUUACUGUCACACAGAAUUUGCCUUCCAGGCUAUUGUAGGGCAUCAAUCUAUUUUGUUUUAAGAUGGUAGUUUCUUUCUUCCCGAACCAUAUUCUAAUAUUUGCAUUAUACAAAAUAAAAUAGUUUAGACAUUUCAGCUUGUCUGUGCUAGAAAAAGGUACUGUUACAACAAUGCAGAAGUAAUCAUUCACACCUACUGUGCAGAGAGCAUAAAGACAUUUCAUAAUAGAACAGCAAUUCCCAAGUAAAAACUGGAAGAAAUUAAGUGGUAUAAGUCAGCUCUCUAUCAUCCAGAGAAGGGAUUUUGCCAGCAUAAAUGAGUUUGGUUACAAAACCUCACAGUUCUUACUGCAAUUAUUAUACUAGGAAAACUUGUAGAUCCAGACUGCCUACAAAAACAUGACUGCAGCAGCCACCAAUAUCCCGAGGACUUGUUACACCGAAGUCAGUCCAGUUGUAACUCUUGAUUUCACUGAAAGUUAUUCCAAGAAUGACUUCGUCCCACUGGACUGGAUUCCCUUUCAUAACAGGAGCAUAAAGUGCUCUUCUAGUACAAUCACAUAUUCCAGGAAAUAUGUAAAAAGGAAAAUUAUUUUUUAUGCUUGCAGGAGGGACCGUGCCGUGAAAAUGAAUCAUUUCUGAACUGGAAUUCUUCUACUCCAGUAAAUAUCCAACCUCCCACCAGCAUGCUGCCCUCCUUAUUUUGCAGGCUUGUGAGAUUUUUACAGCUCCAGGUGGCCUCUUUUCCCCUCCUAGAUAGUGCCACUUGGCCUCACAGCCAACACAACAGCUAACCAGAACUUUUUUUAGCUUGAUAAAUAUAUCUGUGUGAAGGCAUUGUGUGGCAUGUAUGAAUCCAAGAGGGGCCAAGGUGUGAGCUGGGCAGCACGCAGCCCAGGGCUGAAGCAGCUCUGUGCCAGGCAGGAGGAACUCUGUCCCUCCCAGCACGUAAGCACUAGGAGCUUACAGCACAUAGGGCACAGCCAUGCAAAUCCCUCUCAGCUACAUGACUUCCCAGCCCCACGUUUUAGUUUCCACCCAGAGCUCAGCUGCUGUGUGCUGGGCAUGUCAGGUUACCUGCAAAUGAGCGGCUUGGGCACUUGGCCCCAUAGUCAGCCUGUGCUCUUCUUCUUUAUUUGGGCUCUCCUAUCUGCUCUGCUGUAUUAUGGCUUUUCUAAGCCUGACAGAGAAAUAAAAGCACUAUCUUCCCUCCACCAGGAGAAAUGAAGCUGUUUCUGGGCCUUGAGGCAGCAAGAUAUGGGGAAUGCUCACUUAAGCUGGCUGUCACUGAUGGCAAAGUAAGCAGCUGGAAUGGUGGUGGCUUUCCUAGGUAUUUUAGAUAGAGCAGACUUGGGAAGCUGGAAUGGGAGGAUACAAAGUACUGCCCUGCUCCCCCCUCUGCUAUUUCCGCCUCUUGUGAUGGUGUUAGGACAGCAUAUCCAGCUCUCCAAGAUAUUCUGUCAGCUCCCUGUAACAGCUUGACCAUUUCUAUGUUCCUUUGAGUGGUAAGAGCCAGUCCCAGACCUGGCCUUUUAUCCUUGGAGUGGCAAAAGUCAACUUUGCCAGUUCAGCUGGGGAGCCAAGAGAAACUUUGGCCAGUCAGACAUAACCAGGUGCCUGGAAGUGCGACAUUCCCUGGGCCCGCUCUACCAAGCACCACACAAGUGGUUGACAUGUUUUGGUACCUUCACUUAUGAUCAACACCAACCUGUUUGACUUUAUAUUGCGGCAGCCUAGGAAAGUGCAGAUGUCAGCGACUGGACCUCACCUUAAAACUCAUUUAAUUCAGACCUUUGCACUUGUCUGUCAGCAGUUUUGCAUGCAGCCAAGUGAUGCUCAGACACUGUAGGUGAUAUGGCCUAUGUGUGCAGUUUCAAAUGGUUCUAGCUUUGACUUAUUUUCCUCUUAUGUUUGGGAUGCUUUUUAGAGAUGGUGCUUCAUUGCCAGGGUGUGUGUAGCUCCAUAGGAUCAAUGGUGAGGAAAGCCUGUUUCAGAGGCUGGCUUCUGGCAGGUGUUCACAUGCGGUCAGCUCAGACCUGACUUUGCACUGACUGUGACUCAGAGCGUGUCCCUCACUGCACUGUGCAGGGUGUAGGCAUGUGCAUCUGCGCAAAGCAGAUGCAAACUACUGCCAUUCAUAUGUGGAAAUGGCCCUCCUCAGGCACCAGGGGAUGUGUCACUUGGUGUGUUUUACCUCCCUGAAGAAUCACGCCUUGGGCUUCCUUUCACUCCCCUGCUUGGGUGAGGGGAGUUUGCUUUAACAUGUCAGAUUGAAAACUUCAGAUGGUUUAGGAGUUGCCUCACGUGAAGCUCAGCUGUGACAGCUCAGCAGUAGCUGCCUCAAGGGGAAGCGGAGAGUGGGAAGUGAAGCACAGACACCCUACAGCUGUAGGACUCUACCUGUGCUGCUCUGCCUUUGGCUGUUUUUGUGAAACAGUGCAAAGUUUAUGCGUUCAGUAUCUGUCCUGUGCGCAUAUUCCUGAUUCGUUAAAAGUCUGCCCAUUAUUCUCCUUCAUCUGUUGCAUGCAACUACAGUUUAUCCUAAUUUGGUGUUUGGAAAAAUCUUGUCACUCAAACACUAACAGAAGGUGAAAGUAAGCAAGGAGGAAACAAGGACAACUGCAUAUAUUCCGUGCGGGUAGAUUACUUGUUCUUUUCCUGUGGAACAACUGUGGAUGUUUUUCUUACUUAAAAAAAAAGAAGAAAGGCAAAAAACCCCAACCACCAACCAAGCCCCUGACCUCUGGCUAACUACCAGCCUCAGCUACACCGGACAUACCCAGCUGUAUGCACGUAGCUGAGUGAUGCCCUCCCAGAGCAGGGCACAUUCCAGGGAUUUGGCUCUUUGGGAUUAACUGUCUCUUUCAUCAGCUUGGCUUGGACUACUGUUGCUGUUGAUCAUGCAAUGCAAAUCUUUCUGAGAAAGACUCUCAGGCUAUUGAUUACAAAACACAGCCAUUUUGACAACCACCUCAUAGGAUCCAAACCCUCAGUGUUGUGGGCUGUUGUUACCAUUGAUAAGAACUGUGUUAUUGGUCACAGCCAAAUAUGAAAAUAUCCAUCCUUUGCACUACGCAGUGUUGAAUAUCUAGUGAAGCAAGAUGAAAAUUAUCAUUUAUGUCACUUGGGGGAAAGAGCUCUGCCAGAACGUGGGAGGAUUUACUUUAUCUAACAUCCCACCUAAUAUUAGCGGCUGAGAGCAACAAGCAGGGAAUUACAACAUUUCUGCUUGUGAAACAUCACGCAAGGAGCAGAAGGGUGUGGAUUUAUCCACACCUCAUUUUAGGUGUCUAAAUGAAGCAUCAAAGUCAGGAGCAGAGUUGUCCCGGGCACUUCCUUGGAGAGAGACGCGGUUAAGAUUUUAGGAGGGAUAAAUUGCUUUCUGCAGGCACCUCCCUCUCUCUCGACCACAGAUGACCACAGAGAGCUGCACUGCUCACCUCCUCACUGGCUGCAGUGAGGGAGCAGGGUGGCAGAAACACUGCCUGAAGGGAAGAUACUGGUAGUAGUUUGGGGCCUCUCUUAAGGAAGGGAAGAGGGAAAUUCUAAAUGAUUAGCUCAGGAUCCCUCUGGCAGGGGACAGCCACAGCCAGCAGUAGUCAGCAUAUACAGCAGAUCCUGUUAUCUCCUGCCCAGAGGUGUGCUCUGGAGGAAGGUUGCACUGGGACAGUCCCCAUGAGGUAAGAACCUCCUGUGAUGCCAACCCCGAAGCUCUGCUGAUUUACAUUAGGAUUAAAAUAGCCCUCAGAGGUUUCACACUAAUGAAAGUCAGUCAGACUGGGACAUGAGGGCCAACAUAUAAAGGAGUGGGCAAAGUAGCAACUUUUCUAUGUGCAGGGGCUCUGCUCUAAAGAUGGACUGCUGAACUACUUAUUGUGACAUUUGUCUCUCCCGUCUGCAUAGGAACAGGUUUACCUCUGAACAGUAUCACCAUUAGAGUAGGUACUGGGCAGUUUUGAGAAACCUUGGGCCUAGGCCAGGAUUGUACUGUGGUAACAGAAAUUUAAAACAGCAGUGUCCCAUACUCCCUGCCUUCCACAAGCUUGCUCACAGUGUAUUCCCUGUUAAUGCUUUCUGUGAAAGCUGGCAAGAUCCCCUUCUCAAAACCCAGGGGACUCCUGGGUUUCAGUAGAGCUGACAUUCACAUGAGCUGCAGCCAAGGACAAGUUCUGUGCACCUUCUUCAUGCCAGCAUGUGCAAAGGAAAAGUCAGCUUUAAGCUUCCCUGCAGACCUUGCUUUCCUGGGGUGCAGGGCACUCCUUCAUCUGGCCACAGAAAGCCACUGUUAGCAAGGAGGAAGAGCAGAGAGGGGGGUGGCUUCAAGAAGUAUUUGGAAAAGUUCCAGUUCUUGCAAGGCCAUUACAAUGCUGAAUAAAAAAGGUGGGCGGUUUAUAAAUUUGGCAUGGCCAGCAAUGACAAAAUGACAAAGGCCAUUUUCCUGGUGGUCAGCCUCAAGGUUGGGAAGGAGGGGCAGGUGCAGCUGCAUGUCAGAGCAGUGGUGGUGAAAGUGCGCAUUGCUAUGAUCACAUAGAAAGCCAGCCCCCAAGAGAUAAUGAAUGGCUUUGCGGGUCUAAGGUGCUCCAGAUGUGUUGGGACAAUUGAUAGAGCUUACAGUCCAAUUGCCUGACCCUCACUCUCCUCUACCCCUUCUUCCACGAAGGAGGCUUUGCAGUCCAAAAAUAUGAAAGAGUGCUUCUGUGUUGUUCUUUUGCACCUGACUGUCUGCCAUGGUCAACAUGCUGUUUUUAAAGUAGUUGGGUCCAGAAAAGAUAAUGUUAAACCUUUCAAAAUACACAGUUCUUUCCCCCAAUGGGGAAAGGCUCUAUGGAUGUGUAGCCAUAACAUGGAUAACCAACAAUAGCUGCAUGCCUAUCCUUUGUUCUCCUCUCCCCAGGAGCCUGUGCACCCCUCAAUUUCAACUGCAGUGGCGAAGUUUUGGACAGAGCAGGUGCUGGCUCAGGCAGGUCCCCACAGACACUUGUGCUGCCACAGCCAAGAGCAGGGCACACUGCAGUGCUGGGGCAGGGAGCAGUGCAGUGGCAGGGGCAGAAACACUGCACAGGGGCUCAGCAACCUCUCUGCCUCAGAGCCUGCUUGUUCCCUGUCGCUGUGGUGGAGGAAGCACCUGGGUUGGAGAAAUGAGCUCUUUAACUGCUGCCUAAGAUCAAAAUGAAGAAAGCCUCCGGAAAACUGGCAGCUGGAGAAAUAGAAGAGGAUUUUGUAUUUUGCACACCACUGUGAGAAAACAGAGUAACCUUCCUUCUGGGCUGGGAGACAGAGGUUCAAAGAUUUGCCUCUCAAGUCUGUGCAACCAGUGAGACACCUGCUUGUGUAAGACCACAUUUGAGGAACACCUUCCUGGGACACCACCAGGACCUGCUGUGGGGACAGGACCAGGGACAGAGAUGGGAAUUGAUUCCUUGGAGCACUGGCCUGGGUCGCUGCAGGCAGCCAAGUGGUAGAAGUUUUUUGGAAACUAAAGAGAUCUCAUACGGAGAAGUAGCAACAUUUGCUGCUGUCUUCCUGUGUGGGUACCCUUUUUGGUCAUGCCUCUGGUAACAAGGAACUUUCCUCUGAUUUCAAGACUUGGUCUUGAUGACCAGCUUGCAGUCAAAUAUUUUUGAGUCAGAUUGUCCUUCAAGCUGAAGAGUUUGACUUUUUCCCUCCUGUCCCCCCACAGUGUUUAUGGUGAGAAAUCAUAAGCUCUCUCAUCCUUUGCUUUGCUGAAGUUCUUCCAGUGUCUUCCAGGAUAGGCCUUCUAUUCCCUGUAAUUUUCUUGGAAAUGUGUUCACAGCACCUGUUCCAGUUUGAGUGCUUUCUGAAAAUAGAUCUAACUGGAAUGGUAUACAGUAUUCCAGAUGAAGUUUCUCCAGUGUCUUUUCCACAAUGCUAUUAGAAUAAUUUCUAUUGCUUUUCUGUCUGAUUUUUACUACACUAUUUGACUCUAUUUGUAUAAUUUCAUCUCUGAGGGAUUUCUGUCUGUGAUAUCCAGACUUUUGCGUACCAUCAACACCUUCCAGCUAUUGUUGACAGAUUUCAUCACAUAUCAGUCAUGUUUCACAACACUCUUGGUUUUUUUAAUAUCUAAACUGUCAGUAAAAAUAUUGGAAGUCCUAAGACUGGUAUUUGUGGAACCCCCUCAUCCCAGCACAGCACCUUUCCAAUGCAACUUGUCUUCUUCCCUUAGGGCAGUUCCUCACUGCUUUACAGUUUGCUGACUAAUCUCCAUCUUCUUCAGUUUGCCUUUUAAUCACCAAAUGUGAUUCAGUGGCACUGAAUGAGAUGCUUUACUGAAGUCCAGUAGUUGAGACAGACCAUGUUACCUCUGCCUAAAGAGGGAUUGAGUUAGUCACAUCUAAGAAGGAUAAUUGCUUAGUUUGGCAUGAUGUAGUUUUGAAAGACCCAUCUUGCAUCUUAUCCUGUUUCCCAGCUACUCAUUACAUACAAUUUGUAGUUAUUCAUUCUCUAAAUUUGUUCUAAAGCUCUUGAUAUGCAGUUGGUGGAUGAUCUGCUGAGGACAUGCUCCAUAAAAUUUCUCCUAAAUCAGAUGCAGGAUUUUUGUGUGGCAGAUCUAAAUAAUAUGCUAUGCCUACUUGUGCUUUCAUCAGCUUUUAACGUGGUGUGGUUUUAACUCUUAACUUAUCAGUCAGGUGAGUGCUUGCUCAUGAAGCUGUAGGCAGAUUCACUGACCUUAUUCAGGACUGUCCAUGUGUUUUCAUGUAUUUUAUGCUUUAGUUCUCGGGUUGUGCACUGUGUGAAUGCUUUGUGCCUUCAGGCUCUUGGGAGAAUGAGUUGUAAAAUUUGUAAAGAGUUGCUUGGCUAACUGUAGAAUAUAAAAUUAGUGUUUGAAAAGGGAGAGCAAAACAGCCAGGGGUAAAUGCAGUUUCUCCUUGGAGUCACUCAAGUUUUUUGACAGCUGCAGUGUUGCAGGAGCAACUCAAUGUCGUGGGAACACGGGAAUUUGUUUUCAUCAGAGAGUUGCUUUCCCUGCCAAGCUGGCAGCAGCUAUAGGUGAAGCCUUAACAGGGAAACACUUUCAUACUGCCUGUGCUAGGAGGGGAGUCCUCCACGAAUGACUAAGCGACAAAAUAGUGACCUUCACCUUCUGAUCCUCUUCCAUCUUCUCACUGCCCUUGUUGUGUUUUGAGGGUUUUUUUUUUUAUUUUCUGCUUACCAAGAUGCUGGAUGGCAGUGAACACAGGGAUGCCUAAGGAUUUGCACAUUGCAAGGGCAGAAUUCAAAAGGGUCACCGUCUCUUCUUUUCUCCUCAUGUUGAAACAGGGCUUGUUGAAGGACCUGGUUAUCAGGCACUCUCAAAACAUGGCCAAGGUCAGUCUGUUUUCUCCACUGUACUGUUUGUACAGCUGUGGGUAAUCACACAGGCUCUGAAAUCUCAGCAUUCCUUUGGCUCUCUGGCUGCUUUAUGAUCACUGUCCCCCCGCAGGCAUCCGCAUUGAAAGCACUUUGAUUUCUGGGGAAUAGACAUGUUCUUCCAAGACUUCAACUUGUACAGGUAUAUGUAAAAUGUAUAUUUAAUAAGGCUGGCUCAAAAGGGCUUACAGGGGAGCUUAGUGUUGAUACUGAUGACUUCCAUAUGGGAUGUAUUCUUGUCAUGGGAACAAAGAAAUUAUUUCACCCAUUUUGAUAUCAUAUUCUUGGACCAGUGGGUAGAGAUAUGCAUGUCAUGUAUAGGUAUCCUCAAAAGAUCCGUGCUCCAAGCUUACCCUAUUUUGUUCAUUACCCUUACCAAAUAGCCUGUAGUAAACUUAGAAACCACUAAUAGAGGCAUUUAAAAGGCAUGAGGAUUAAUGUGUCAGUUCUUACAGUUUUCUAAACAAGUAUUGAUUCUCUGGGAUUUUUUGGAAUAGAUGGAUUUUCCUGGAGGACAGAAAAUAAAAUCUUCAUGCUGACUUUUUAAAGGUGAGGUUAUAAAUGCAUAAAACCUUUAUUAAUUUGCUCUCUGGGGCCUUCACACUGUGACAGAACUAUAAAAUGUUCAGUCUGUAAUGAGUACAGUUUUAAUAUGAUUUCAGUUUUCCAGGUCAGAGCUGAUCAUACAGCACAGCAUUCAGGAAGAGCAGGGCCUGAAUUUUGGAGAUACCUGCUUAAGUAAGAGCCUAUGACCAAGUCACAGCAUUGGUGUAUGUAUGAAAGUUUUUGUGAGGAGGUUUUCAGUCCUCAGUGUCUUCAAGGUCAUCACCCAUGACACAAAAUGACACUGUUAGACUACUACCUCUUCUCCUGCUCAUUUUGAAUGGACAAAGGUCUGUACCACAACUGUAUUUUCUCUACUCAUCUUGAAUUCUUUGUUUUGAGGCAGCUCUGUGUCGUUGUUUUGAUGCAGCUGUGUCAAAACCCUCCCCUGAGACCAAGCAUAAAAAUUCUGGUUUCUAUGCCUGGACCAACACAGAUUUACCUUUCUGCAGAGUAUGAGAAAACUCAUAAGCUCCCUGUGGCACAGAGGCAGCAGAUAAAGCCUAUUAGUGUGAUGCCAAACAUUGUUCCAGAGCACCUGGGUAUAAAAAGGCAGAAUUAACUCUGUGUUAGCAUUUAAACAACCAGGUGAAACCUGCCAGUACUGGUCACUGUGACCCACUCGAGCAGAAGAAACUUGGAUGAAAGUAGCCACUAGGUGUGGGAAGGUAUAAAGCUGUGUAGGAAAGUAGAUGGAAGACCACCAACACACUUUGAAGCAAAGGCUUCUUCAAUACAAGUCUGUAACUGGCACGCCCUGUUCUUGAUCCCUCAUAAUAUGCUUAGCUUAACUAAUGCCAGUCCAAAAGGCAAAUGGCCAUUCUCUGUGACCAAACUGGUCAUGUAUCAGUCUCCUUUCCCUUCCUCAUCAGGUCUGGAAGGUCCCAUGCACCAGAAAGAAUUCUUCUCCCCCUUUCCUAUCAGCCUCAAGGUUCCUGGGCACUGGGCUGACUUCUCCCUUCCUUACCAGCCUUGAAGGUCCCAGGCGCACAGGUUGUGAUGACAACAAACCAGGGAAGUGUGGCAGAACACAGAGCACUGUCUGUAAAAUCAAGCGGUUAGGAGACAAAAGUGGAACCUGGACCACAGUUGCUGCUGGACAGCAAAACCCAUGAUAUCCCAGUGGUCAGGGACACCACCAUCAUCUGCUUCCCCCAAGUUCUGAGUGAGUGAUUCAUAUUUUUCCACAUUUUUUAAUUCUAUAUUAUGAUUAUUAUAUUGAUACUGCAAGCCAAGUAUUAAGAUUUGACCCAUUCUGCAGAGCAUCCAUGUGAUUAGGAACUGUAAGCCAACCUGUGAUACAAAUUUUGUGCUAAACUACUUAGAAAAUUGUGAUAUGCUGAUUCUGAUUAUAAAAAUCCUGUUCUAUUCUGGUCACAGAAUUGUAUGCUAUGCCAAUCAUAAAAUUCUGUUUAAAAAAAUAAAGCUUUAAUUGUAAUUACAA